rnacentral:misc_RNA from 1 species
AAAAUUUUAAAUUUUUGGCGCCAUUACCCCCUACAUAAAACUGAAGCAGCCCCACUUAUUAUUUCGGCUCCAUUCAAUGGUUGAACCAAAAUCACAGUUGCAUUUGCUUGGCAAAGUUUGCAUCCGAAUGAUUUGCUGAUCCAGAAAACUUGAGCAAUUGAAUGCGCGGUAUAAGUCGGGACCUAAAUUAAAGGAAGCCGCAGGGAGCUGAAAAUGGUCUCUUUUCAAACCAUGUGUGCAGAAGCAUAUCAUACGGCUGAUCCUCAACAAUCAGGAUCCAUGAAA